rfam:Gorilla gorilla gorilla genomic chromosome, chrX, whole genome shotgun sequence
GCAGUGCCUUACUCAGGUGCCAGUCACUUACACUACAUGUCACUGUGUCCUUUCUGCGUAGAGUAAGGCU